rnacentral:rRNA from 1 species
AUUGAACGCUGGCGGCAGGCCUAACACAUGCAAGUCGAGCGGAUGAAGGGAGCUUGCUCCUGGAUUCAGCGGCGGACGGGUGAGUAAUGCCUAGGAAUCUGCCUGGUAGUGGGGGAUAACGUCCGGAAACGGGCGCUAAUACCGCAUACGUCCUGAGGGAGAAAGUGGGGGAUCUUCGGACCUCACGCUAUCAGAUGAGCCUAGGUCGGAUUAGCUAGUUGGUGGGGUAAAGGCCUACCAAGGCGACGAUCCGUAACUGGUCUGAGAGGAUGAUCAGUCACACUGGAACCGAGACACGGUCCAGACUCCUACGGGAGGCAGCAGUGGGGAAUAUUGGACAAUGGGCGAAAGCCUGAUCCAGCCAUGCCGCGUGUGUGAAGAAGGUCUUCGGAUUGAAAAGCACUUUAAGUUGGGAGGAAGGGCAGUAAGUUAAUACCUUGCUGUUUUGACGUUACCAACAGAAUAAGCACCGGCUAACUUCGUG